rnacentral:lncRNA from 1 species
UUGAGAAACAUCCAGUAUGUCUGUAUUUUUUGUCUUUGUCACUGUUAGGUUGGAGAAAAGAAAUUUCAGGUGAGAUCGUCCACAUCAGGGCACACCUAUACAGUGGACAUGGAGUUGGAGCUCUGCACUUGUCCAGUUGGGCACCAUGCAAACACCAGGCAGCGGUAGUACAAAAUUUCAACAUCACCUCCAUCAACUUGCUCCCCACAACAGCUGAAAUGAGGGCUGAGCUGCUGAAAAUAACAAAAACCUCAGUUUCUCUUGACUUUCUAAACCCUUUACGGCAAAAUAUGCCAACGCCAAGCACAUUAGCUCCAGACAUGCCUCUCAGGCAAGAAACCUGCACUACUGAUCAUCAGUAUCAUCUCAGUGCUCAAGAUGAUGAGUCACAUCAGCUGGACCUGUCUUCCACCAUCUCUGCACAAUUGCACCAAACAUCACCUAUGCAAGAGGACUCAUACUCCAACCAACCCUGUGUACAGGUUAACUCAGAGGGAGGUGAGUCCAUGAAGCUUAGAGUUACAUAAAAAAUUCUGUCUAGAUGUUUAUUUGGGCCCAAGCACCCUUUUCCAAGUUUUUUUUUGUUUUUAUUGUUGUCUCUUUAAACAGCACCUUUACCUCAGUCUCCUGUGAGACGGAUGCUGGGACUGCUCAGUGAAAUGGCUGAAAACUCGGACUACAGUGAUGCCAUGACUACAAUGGCCAAGCAGCUUGAAAAGAUGCAGCACAACCCGACCCACAUGAUCUCUGCUUUGGUAAAGGGAUGUCUGUGUCAAAACCUGCAGCAGCGUUAAGACGACCUGCUAGACGACCAGGUCCUAUUAUUGGCUGUCAGCCAACAGCAGUGGCCCGAAGAACAGCUAAGACUGGUUCUAGGCGGCGUUUGACAGCUGGACGCCCCAGAAAAUGUAGUUCUGGUUCAGAGCAUGACUACAGCAGAUAUACAGGGAAAAGGGCUGUCAGGGUUCGCCACAAAUUGUCAGAAUCUGUGGCAAUGAAUUGCUCACAUCAAGCUUAAAAAUGUACAAAUAUUUGUAUGACGUGGGU